GACGAACGCUUGCGGCGUGCUUAACACAUGCAAGUCGAACGGAAAGGCCCUGCUUUUGUGGGGUGCUCGAGUGGCGAACGGGUGAGUAACAUGUGAGUAACCUGCCCUUGACUUUGGGAUAACUUCAGGAAACUGGGGCUAAUACCGGAUAGGAGCUCCUGCUGCAUGGUGGGGGUUGGAAAGUUUCGGCGGUUGGGGAUGGACUCGCGGCUUAUCAGCUUGUUGGUGGGGUAGUGGCUUACCAAGGCUUUGACGGGUAGCCGGCCUGAGAGGGUGACCGGCCACAUUGGGACUGAGAUACGGCCCAGACUCCUACGGGAGGCAGCAGUGGGGAAUAUUGCACAAUGGGCGGAAGCCUGAUGCAGCAACGCCGCGUGCGGGAUGACGGCCUUCGGGUUGUAAACCGCUUUCGCCUGUGACGAAGCGUGAGUGACGGUAAUGGGUAAAGAAGCACCGGCUAACUACGUGCCAGCAGCCGCGGUGAUACGUAGGGUGCGAGCGUUGUCCGGAUUUAUUGGGCGUAAAGGGCUCGUAGGUGGUUGAUCGCGUCGGAAGUGUAAUCUUGGGGCUUAACCCUGAGCGUGCUUUCGAUACGGGUUGACUUGAGGAAGGUAGGGGAGAAUGGAAUUCCUGGUGGAGCGGUGGAAUGCGCAGAUAUCAGGAGGAACACCAGUGGCGAAGGCGGUUCUCUGGGCCUUUCCUGACGCUGAGGAGCGAAAGCGUGGGGAGCGAACAGGCUUAGAUACCCUGGUAGUCCACGCUGUAAACGGUGGGUACUAGGUGUGGGGUCCAUUCCACGGGUUCCGUGCCGUAGCUAACGCUUUAAGUACCCCGCCUGGGGAGUACGGCCGCAAGGCUAAAACUCAAAGGAAUUGACGGGGCCCCGCACAAGCGGCGGAGCAUGCGGAUUAAUUCGAUGCAACGCGUAGAACCUUACCUGGGUUUGACAUGGAUCGGGAGUGCUCAGAGAUGGGUGUGCCUCUUUUGGGGUCGGUUCACAGGUGGUGCAUGGCUGUCGUCAGCUCGUGUCGUGAGAUGUUGGGUUAAGUCCCGCAACGAGCGCAACCCUUGUUCACUGUUGCCAGCACGUUAUGGUGGGGACUCAGUGGAGACCGCCGGGGUCAACUCGGAGGAAGGUGGGGAUGACGUCAAGUCAUCAUGCCCCUUAUGUCCAGGGCUUCACGCAUGCUACAAUGGCUGGUACAGAGAGUGGCGAGCCUGUGAGGGUGAGCGAAUCUCGGAAAGCCGGUCUCAGUUCGGAUUGGGGUCUGCAACUCGACCUCAUGAAGUCGGAGUCGCUAGUAAUCGCAGAUCAGCAACGCUGCGGUGAAUACGUUCCCGGG
rnacentral:rRNA from 1 species